GAUGAACGCUGGCGGCGUGCCUAAUACAUGCAAGUCGAGCGAAGCGGGGACGGGUGAGUAAUGCGUGGAUAACCUCCUAUAAGACUGGGAUAACUUUGGGAAACCGGAGCUAACCCGGAUACUUCUCGUUGGAUCUGCGCUGCAUUAGCUAGUUGGUAAGGUAACGGCUCACCAAGGCAACGAUGCAUAGCCGACCUGAGAGGUUGAUCGGCCACACUGGAACUGAGACACGGUCCAGACUCCUACGGGAGGCAGCAGUAGGGAAUCUUCCGCAAUGGGCGAAAGCCUGACGGAGCAACGCCGCGUGAGUGAUGAAGGUCUUCGGAUCGUAAAACUCUGUUAUUAGGGAAGCGGUACCUAAUGAGAAAGCCACGGCUAACUACGUGCCAGCAGCCGCGGUAAUUC
rnacentral:rRNA from 1 species